rnacentral:rRNA from 1 species
CCUACGGGAGGCUGCAGUGGGGAAUAUUGCACAAUGGGCGAAAGCCUGAUGCAGCAACGCCGCGUGAGCGAUGAAGGCCUUCGGGUCGUAAAGCUCUGUCCUCAAGGAAGAUAAUGACGGUACUUGAGGAGGAAGCCACGGCUAACUACGUGCCAGCAGCCGCGGUACUACGUAGGGGGCUAGCGUUAUCCGGAAUUACUGGGCGUCAAGGGUGCGUAGGUGGUUUCUUAAGUCAGAGGUGAAAGGCUAGGGCUCAACCGUAGUAAGCCUUUGAAACUGGGUAACGUGAGUGCAGGAGAGGAAAGCGGAAUUCGUGGUGUAGCGGUGAAAUGCAUAGAUAUUAGGAGGAACACCAGUUGCGAAGGCGGCUCUCUGGAGUGUAACUGACACUGAGGCACGAAAGCGUGGGGAGCGAACAGGAUUAGAUACCCGGGUAGUC